rnacentral:rRNA from 1 species
CUACGGGCGGCACCAGGAAGGAAUAUUGGGCGAUGGGCGCAAGCCUGACCCAGCGACACCGCGUGGAGGAUGAAGGCCUUCGGGUUGUAAACUCCUUACACGUAUUAAGAAGACCAGAGCGGCGAAUAACUGCAUUGGUUUGACAAAGGUACGAGAUGAAGUCAUGGCUAACUCUGUGCCAGCAGCCGCGGUAAUACAGAGAUGGCAACCGUUGUUCGGAAUCACUGGGCUUAAAGCGCACGUAGGCGGAGCAGUAAGUUGAUUGUGAAAGCCCCUGGCUCACCCAGGGAACAGCAGUCAAAACUGCUGCCCUUGAGUACGGAAGGGGAGAGUGGAACUCCUAGUGGAGCGGUGAAAUGCGUUGAUAUUAGGAGGAACGCCGGUGGCGAAAGCGACUCUCUGGUCCGUUGCUGACGCUGUGGUGCGAAAGCCAGGGGAGCAAACGGGAUUAGAUACCCGGGUAGUC